GAUGAACGCGGGCGGCGUGCCUAACACUGCAAGUCGAACGAGUUGCGUAUCGGAAAGCUUCGGCCGGAAGAUGCGAAUCUAGUGGCGGACGGGUGAGUAACACGUGGGUAACCUGAUUAUGGAGGGGGAUAACAGAGAGAAAUCACUGCUAAUACCGCAUAAGCACACAUUGCUGCAUGGCAGAGUGUGAAAAGAUUUAUCGCCAUAAGAUGGACCCGCGUCUGAUUAGCCAGUUGGCAGGGUAAAAGCCUACCAAAGCAACGAUCAGUAGCCGAUCUGAGAGGAUGACCGGCCACAUUGGGACUGAGACACGGCCCAAACUCCUACGGGAGGCAGCAGUGGGGAAUAUUGCACAAUGGGGGAAACCCUGAUGCAGCGACGCCGCGUGAGUGAAGAAGUAUUUCGGUAUGUAAAGCUCUAUCAGCAGGGAAGAUAAUGACAGUACCUGACUAAGAAGCCCCGGCUAACUACGUGCCAGCAGCCGCGGUAAUACGUAGGGGGCAAGCGUUAUCCGGAUUUACUGGGUGUAAAGGGAGCGUAGACGGAGUGGCAAGUCUGAAGUGAAAACCCUGGGCUUAACCUGGGGACUGCUUUGGAAACUGUUAAUCUAGAGUGUUGGAGAGGUAAGUGGAAUUCCUGGUGUAGCGGUGAAAUGCGUAGAUAUCAGGAAGAACACCGGAGGCGAAGGCGGCUUACUGGACAAUAACUGACGUUGAGGCUCGAAAGCGUGGGGAUCAAACAGG
rnacentral:rRNA from 1 species